rnacentral:other from 1 species
GGAUCGCUGCUGUGCGCGAGACGGGACCCGGACUUUGCCGAACCGAUGCGGCUCUGCAGGGCCUCCCAAUCUUCGCGCGAACGGCUUCCCCCUGCGGGGGGAAACCCGAAACGCGAGUGCGGCGGCCCACUUGAUGGCAGGGUUCCGCAAAGCGGGAUACCUACGGCACGAGUGGCGAUCCC